GAGUAUGCAGCCUUGGGUCUUAACUUUGCAAAAGUUACUGAAGAUAUUUGUUAUCUGAUACUCU
rnacentral:tRNA from 1 species